rnacentral:lncRNA from 1 species
GAUCUCCUGUAAGGGUUCUGGAUACAGCUUUACCAGCUACUGGAUCGGCUGGGUGCGCCAGAUGCCCGGGAAAGGCCUGGAGUGGAUGGGGAUCAUCUAUCCUGGUGACUCUGAUACCAGAUACAGCCCGUCCUUCCAAGGCCAGGUCACCAUCUCAGCCGACAAGUCCAUCAGCACCGCCUACCUGCAGUGGAGCAGCCUGAAGGCCUCGGACACCGCCAUGUAUUACUGUGCGAGAC